GUGCUCGCUUCGGCAGUACAUAUACUAAAACUGAAACAAUACAGAGAAGAUUAGCAUGGUCCCUGUGCAAAGAUGACAUGCAAAUUCAUGAAGCAUUUCAUAUUAAA